rnacentral:rRNA from 1 species
UGGGGAAUUUUGGACAAUGGGCGAAAGCCUGAUCCAGCAAUGCCGCGUGUGUGAAGAAGGCCUUCGGGUUGUAAAGCACUUUUGUCCGGAAAGAAAUCCUUGGCUCUAAUACAGUCGGGGGAUGACGGUACCGGAAGAAUAAGCGCCGGCUAACUACGUGCCAGCAGCCGCGGUAAUACGUAGGGUGCAAGCGUUAAUCGGAAUUACUGGGCGUAAAGCGUGCGCAGGCGGUUUGCUAAGACCGAUGUGAAAUCCCCGGGCUCAACCUGGGGAACUGCAUUGGUGACUGGCAGGCUAGAGUAUGGCAGAGGGGGGUAGAAUUCCACGUGUAGCAGUGAAAUGCGUAGAGAUGUGGAGGAAUACCGAUGGCGAAGGCAGCCCCCUGGGCCAAUACUGACGCUCAUGCACGAAAGCGUGGGGAGCAAACAGGAUUAGAUACCCUGGUAGUCCACGCCCUAAAACGAUGUCAACUAGUUNUUGGGGGAUUCAUUUCCUUAGUAACGUAGCUAACGCGUGAAGUUGACCGCCUGGGGAGUACGGUCGCAAGAUUAAAACUCAAAUGAAUUGAC